AUAGCAGUAUUUUGAGAAUUUGAUAGGGGGGGGGGCAACGGGUCGGGUAUAGGUCAGGUCAAUCGAUAUUCGUAUCAGCCCUACCAAAAAGAACCCAUACCCAUAUCUGCCCCAUACCCAUCUCAGAUCGAGUUGGGUUGGGCUCUAAAAAUGGGUCUGGUCGGAUAGGAUAUACCCAAAAUUUCUGUAUAGUUAAAAAAAUUACAAUGGAAUAAAGCCUAACAAUUUUAUAGCCAA
rnacentral:lncRNA from 1 species